GAGAAAGAGCGAAACUUCGCUUUCGUAUGAGUCAGAAAAUAACGAGAUACUCGCCGUUGCUCAGGUGAGAAAACAGCGGCGAAACGGCGAACCAAGCGCACCUGUGUGAGAAAGAGUGAGAGUGUUUUGUGUGCGUUGCCUCAUUUCGCUCACAUAACGUUUCUCAUGCAGUUUCUCGCUCUCUCUGUCUCUCUUAGGCGCCCUCUCUUUCCUUCCUCAGAGUCAAGGUAGUGAUCAUAAUGAUGAUCACGCUCAUGAUCAAGAUUCUUCGCCUUGGCCAUUUGCCGGCUAAGAUGGCUUUUACUCGAUACCGAGAGCUGUACUUGUGGUACUUACAGUUUCGGUGGAUCGGAACAAAUUUGCAGAUACCGGCGUACCUUUCUUUUUGCGAGAAACGGAAGAGAACUGCGAUUAGUGGCGAAGACUUGUAUACAAAUUCCUCCAGCCGUCAAGUGCAAUAUGCUGGUAAGACGGGAGAAUCCAAAGGAGGAAGAAGAACUCAAAUCCAGACGGAUUUUAUGGCCAAAAUAAAUGACGAACAGCAAAAACGGCAAACGGCAAAUGGCAAAUGGCAUCGAAAGGAACAGGCUAAUAAAAAGCCAUUAAAGCGAAGUUCAGGUUUUGAAACUCCACGAAUUCGAAAACUGUGCGCUGAGAGGAAGAUUCAAGCAUAUUGAUAGCGGAGAGGGUAUACAGCUGGCUUAAGUUAUACAACAUUCUUCUAACCAGCUACUACUGCAAGGGCAGAGCACUUGCCAUGCUCAUUGCCUCCCAACUAACUCGUAUAACGGUGUACUCCUCAUCUUCUUCCUCAUCAAAAUCAUCAUCAUCAGCUGCUGCUUCUUCGUCGCCGUCGUCGUCGUCGUCGUUUUGAUCAUCUUGUGCCUUUUUUUGACUGAUUAAGAAAAGGAAAACGCAGCCAAGCGUCACAAAAUGUGGCUGAUAAAAACCAAAGGCACAUGCACAACAAAAUUUCGUGUGCAGUCAAUGAAAAGUCAGCGAAGUUAUAUAGUAACCACAACUAUUCGCAUCAAUUAUGGACUUGUCUAAAUGUUUUAAAUCACCAUUUUCAACUACAACUCAAGUGCUGAAACCGCGAAUGGAUGAAUUGGUAGUUGGCUGCGCGAAAAUUGAUCCGUACUUACCAUAAAUAUCUGUACUUACCAUAAACAUUUAAUACAUACCUGUAAACAAUGCAUGAAAUAAAGUAUUUUAUUGAACAACAAAA